rnacentral:rRNA from 1 species
UACGUAGGUGGCAAGCGUUGUCCGGAUUUAUUGGGUUUAAAGGGUGCGUAGGCGGCUUUGUAAGUCAGUGGUGAAAUACUCCAGCUUAACUGGAGGGGUGCCAUUGAUACUGCGGAGCUUGAGUACAGAUGGAGGUAGGCGGAAUUGACGGAUGUAGCGGUGAAAUGCAUAGAUAUCGUCAAGGAACACCGAGUAGCGAAAGGCAGCUUACUGGGCUGUAAACUGACGGCUGAUGACACGGAAA